AACGCUAGCUACAGGCUUAACACAUGCAAGUCGAGGGGCAGCAUGGUCUUAGCUUGCUAAGGCCGAUGGCGACCGGCGCACGGGUGAGUAACACGUAUCCAACCUGCCGUCUACUCUUGGACAGCCUUCUGAAAGGAAGAUUAAUACAAGAUGGCAUCAUGAGUCCGCAUGUUCACAUGAUUAAAGGUAUUCCGGUAGACGAUGGGGAUGCGUUCCAUUAGAUAGUAGGCGGGGUAACGGCCCACCUAGUCUUCGAUGGAUAGGGGUUCUGAGAGGAAGGUCCCCCACAUUGGAACUGAGACACGGUCCAAACUCCUACGGGAGGCAGCAGUGAGGAAUAUUGGUCAAUGGGCGAGAGCCUGAACCAGCCAAGUAGCGUGAAGGAUGACUGCCCUAUGGGUUGUAAACUUCUUUUAUACGGGAAUAAAGUGAGGCACGUGUGCCUUUUUGUAUGUACCGUAUGAAUAAGGAUCGGCUAACUCCGUGCCAGCAGCCGCGGUAAUACGGAGGAUCCGAGCGUUAUCCGGAUUUAUUGGGUUUAAAGGGAGCGUAGGCGGACGCUUAAGUCAGUUGUGAAAGUUUGCGGCUCAACCGUAAAAUUGCAGUUGAUACUGGGUGUCUUGAGUACAGUAGAGGCAGGCGGAAUUCGUGGUGUAGCGGUGAAAUGCUUAGAUAUCACGAAGAACUCCGAUUG
rnacentral:rRNA from 1 species